rnacentral:rRNA from 14 species
UGUACCUGCCCCACCACCUUGAAUAUCCCUGUUCUCAUCUGAUCUUGGGAACUAAGCAGGAUUGGAUCUGAUUCAUAUCUACAUAUUCUAAAAUAUAGAUAUGGAUACAU